rnacentral:misc_RNA from 1 species
CGACCCUCAAGCCCCUGUGGGCUUGGCGUUGGGGCUUUUCUACGGCGGACCUGGUUCCCCGUAGGCCCUCAAAGUCAGUGGCGGGCUCGCUAGUGCUCCGGGCGUAGUAGCUUUACGUUUUUCUCGCUUAGGAGGCCUGGCGGGUUGCUGGCCGUUAAACCCCCUAUAUUUUAAAAGG